UACGGGGGGGGCAAGCGUUGUUCGGAAUUACUGGGCGUAAAGGGCUCGUAGGUGGCCAACUAAGUCAGACGUGAAAUCCCCAGGCUCAACUUGGGAACUGCGUCUGAUACUGGAUGGCUUGAAUUCGGGAGAGGGAUGCAGAAUUCCAGGUGUAGCGGUGAAAUGCGUAGAUAUCGGAAGGAACAUCAGUGGCGAAGGCGACUUCCUGGACUGUUACUGACACUGAGGCACGAAAGCGUGGGGAGCGAACAGG
rnacentral:rRNA from 1 species